UGCGUCCUAGCUUGUUUAGAUUGGGAGUGCUAGCUUAUCUAAAGGAUCUUUCGUGCUAGAAUUUUUUUGUCUUUGAUUGCAUGACAUUUUUUUUUGUAUAUUUCAAUAGGAGCAACACAAUAGAGGAGGAGCAGCUGCAAAUGCCUAACUGUGAUGAAGAGGAACCAGCGGAAAGCAGCCCGUCAUCAUCAACAUCCACCACCAUAGCUGCUACUGAGGUUAUCUGCUGGGACUACUGUGAGCUGCUGCUGGAAUUUUUUGCUGAACUUUCUCAGCUGUUUGAGAAGUAAUAGAUAAUUUCAGUGUUCUUUUUGCUGAUGAAGAACAGUGAUGUUCUGUUGAUUAAGAGCAAGAGCAGGGGUCCUUUAGCAUGCCAACAAAUUAUCUCCAGAUUUGCGUUCUUUGCCUAUAUCGUCUCUGUCAACAGCUCGAGCACGGCCAGCAGGACUUAAGGACAUGGUCAGGACAUUAGUAAUCAUCUCCCCCUAAUCAUGAUUUAUGUCAUUUUCCUCUAUUUAGUUCCCACAGGUUAUGGUGUCUUUUUAUUCGAUUAGGUUUGUGAUACCUGCCGGACAUUUGAUCCAAAAAUUUAUUUAAGUAUGCAGCUCUUGGUGUGGCUACCUAUUGUUCUAUCGAGAAAAUUGAUUCCAUAUAUUUUUACACUCUUUAUUGAACAAUAUAUUUCUACACGUUAGUCAUUUGUACGGUGCAGGUUCAUGAACAAUAAUGGUUGUAGAAUGAUUCCAUAUUUUCUCUGAUUGAGUGCCCAAUUCAUACAUGUUUUGAUUCUUUAUGUUUUAUCCUAAUUUAUUCACGAGGUCUUGAAAGUUUUCCCCUUAUGUCAGACUGGUCAUAACUAAUUAUUGGCCACCAUCUUUAAUUAUGUAACAAGUUAUGUGAAUAGUUUCUAUCAAUGUAUAUGUUGCUGGUAGCAGUGACCAAUCAGCAAAAUGCCUUGUUGCUUCUCAUCGGAUGCUUUCUCAAUUAUGCGCGUGGCUGAGGUUUCUGACAACGAAUCUGGUGGGGCGGAACACAUUGUCGUCGUCUCUUGGUGCGUAGAGUUCACUCUUCACACUCAUUAUCGUGGCUCCAUGUGUUGACUGACUAUCCAGGCUGCAUUUCCAAGAUGUCUUCCUCAUUUGUUUUCUUAAGCUGAUGCACGGUGUGAUUGAGUUAUUUGUUAUCUUAACAUAACUAUUACGCUUCUAUGUUAAAUCGUAAAAAAAAUUACUCCUUCCAAAUAAGAUGUUUAUUUCUUGAAUAUGGAAGGCUAUUGUGUUCGUCUACAUGUCAUGCUCUGGAUUUCUUCACAGACAGAUGUAGGUCUGCAACUUUUGACUAACUAAAAUAUUAUUUUCAUAUUUUAUUUGUAUCUGCCCUCUAAAGUCAUGAAUUUAAGUAUUUUGUAGAUCCUUUUCUGUCAUAUAU